rnacentral:rRNA from 1 species
GACGAACGCUGGCGGCGUGCUUAACACAUGCAAGUCGAACGGAAAGGCCCUGCUUGCAGGGUACUCGAGUGGCGAACGGGUGAAUAACACGUGGGUGAUCUGCCCUGCACUUCGGGAUAAGCCUGGGAAACUGGGUCUAAUACCGGAUAGGAGCCAUUUUUAGUGUGAUGGUUGGAAAGUUUUUUCGGUGUAGGAUGAGCUCGCGGCCUAUCAGCUUGUUGGUGGGGUAAUGGCCUACCAAGGCGGCGACGGGUAGCCGGCCUGAGAGGGUGGACGGCCACAUUGGGACUGAGAUACGGCCCAGACUCCUACGGGAGGCAGCAGUGGGGAAUAUUGCACAAUGGGCGCAAGCCUGAUGCAGCGACGCCGCGUGGGGGAUGACGGCCUUCGGGUUGUAAACUCCUUUCGCUAGGGACGAAGCUUUUGUGACGGUACCUAGAUAAGAAGCACCGGCUAACUACGUG